GUGCCAGCAGCCGCGGUAAUACGUAGGGGGCGAGCGUUACCCGGAAUUACUGGGCGUAAAGGGGGCGUAGGCGGCCCGGCAAGUCAAGUGUGAAAUCCGGCGGCUCAACCGCUGGGCUGCGCUUGAAACUGCCGGGCUUGAGUGCAGCAGAGGGAGACGGAAUUGCCGGUGUAGGGGUGAAAUCCGUAGAUAUCGGCAAGAACGCCGGUGGGGAAGCCGGUCUCCUGGGCUGUUACUGACGCUGAGGCCCGAAAGCUGGGGGAGCGAACCGGAUUAGAUACCCGGGUAGUCCUGGCCGUAAACGAUGGAUGCUAGAUGUGGGCGGGGAGACCCGUCCGUGUCGCAAGCUAACGCGUUAAGCAUCCCGCCUGGGGAGUACGGCCGCAAGGUUGAAACUUAAAUGAAUUGACGGGG
rnacentral:rRNA from 1 species